rnacentral:rRNA from 1 species
UACAGAGGUCUCAACCGUUGUUCGGAUUCAUUGGGCGUAAAGGGUGCGUAGGCGGCGCGGUAAGUCGGGUGUGAAAUCUCGGGGCUUAACUCGAAACUGCAUUCGAUACUGCCGUGCUUGAGGACUGGAGAGGAGACUGGAAUUUACGGUGUAGCGGUGAAAUGCGCAGAUAUCAGGAGGAACACCAAUGGCGAAGGCAGCACUCUGGGACGGUACUGACGCUG